CCUGGUCCCCCGCGUGGCGGUACCUCCCUGAACCCCUCCAGGGCCGGAAGGCAGCAAAGGUAAGGGAGCUCUUCCGGGUGCGCGGGGGGCUUUACUU
rnacentral:SRP_RNA from 1 species